UAAGGAAUAUUGCGCAAUGGGCGACAGCCUGACGCAGCGACGCCGCGUGGGGGAUGAAGGUCUUCGGAUUGUAAACCCCUUUCGGCAGGGAAGAUGGAACGGGUAACCGUUCGGACGGUACCUGCAGAAGCAGCCACGGCUAACUUCGUGCCAGCAGCCGCGGUAAUACGAAGGUGGCAAGCGUUGUUCGGAUUUACUGGGCGUACAGGGAGCGUAGGCGGUUGGGUAAGCCCUCCGUGAAAUCUCCGGGCCUAACCCGGAAAGUGCGUAGGGGACUGCUCGGCUAGAGGAUGGGAGAGGAGCGCGGAAUUCCCGGUGUAGCGGUAAAAUGCGUAGAGAUCGGGAGGAAGGCCGGUGGCGAAGGCGGCGCUCUGGAACAUUUCUGACGCUGAGGCUCGAAAGCGUGGGGAGCAAACAGG
rnacentral:rRNA from 1 species